UAUAUAUUAUUUAAUAUAUAAUAUAUUAAAUAUAUUUAAUAUAAUAUUGUUUAAAUUUAUGCAUAUGUAACUAUAUGAAUGCCAUUUUCUAUCCUUAAAUUAUAGAAAUUAGUAUAUGAUGAGUAAAUUUAUUUGCUUUGUAUUCUGAAAUAAUUUUGAUGUUGAGUGGAAAUAUGAAAUUUUAAUCGGUAUUUCCAAAGAAAACAAAUAGAAUUGUGUUGAGGAAAAUUUCCCCCAAAGUUUGUGCUCAACAUUUUGUACAUAGACACAAAAUUAUGAGUAAAAAUUAUGGAGUUUUUGCUUAAUAUGUACUGAAUAGAAAGAAUUCACUGUAAAUGCAGGGCACUGGAAUGAAUUUCCAAAAUAGUUGUUCAUUCCUUUAUUCAUUCUCUAAUGCAGUAAAUAUUUACUGAGUGCUUAUUAUAUGAAACUCUCAGAUUCUAAGGAAAAAGAGACACUCAAUAGAGAAGAAAUUCUUCUUUUUAUAGGGUUUAUGGUGAAAAUCUGAAUGUCUUAAAUGAAGAUUAAGUCAAAUAUAAAGAUACAGCUAAUCAGCCAGCAUGGUGGUGCACAUCUGUAGUCCCAGUUACUUGGGAGGGGCUGAGGUGGGACAAUCGCUUGAGCCCGGGAAGUUGAGGCUGCAGUCAGCCCUGAUCACACCACUGCACUCCAGCCUGUGACAAGAGUAAGCCCCUGUCUCCAAAAAAUAAAUAAUCAAAUCAAAUGAAGCCAAAUCAAAUAAAGAUGUAGCUAAGAGGAAGAGCUUU
rnacentral:lncRNA from 1 species